GCCGGUCCGACAGCAGCGCCGCCCGCCAGCGCCAGCGCAGCUCGGAGCGCGAGAAGGAGAACACCUCGCCCGGCCAGGCGGUGCUGACGCUGUUUGACCGCCUGGCCGAUGCGACACAGCAAGACAGAGCUGUCGUCGUUCGAUCGGCAGUUCCCGCUCAGCCGCAGGACGGACUCGAGCCGGCUGCCGAGGCCGGACGGCGGCGAGGCGUCCCGGCCCUGGCGCACCUCCAGCACUCGAUCCGAGUCAUCCCCGGACUGGACAGCGCCACGGGACACCAGCACCAGCACCAGCGCCAGCGCCAACGCC